rnacentral:rRNA from 1 species
UACGUAUGGGGCAAGCGUUAUCCGGAUUUACUGGGUGUAAAGGGAGCGUAGGCGGCAGGGCAAGCCUGAUGUGAAAGCCCGGGGCUCAACCCCGGGACUGCAUUGGGAACUGCCCUGCUGGAGUGCCGGAGGGGCAGGCGGAAUUCCUAGUGUAGCGGUGAAAUGCGUAGAUAUUAGGAGGAACACCAGUGGCGAAGGCGGCCUGCUGGACGGUGACUGACACUGAGGCUCGAAAGCGUGGGGAGCAAACAGG